rnacentral:tRNA from 1 species
GCAGGGUUAGCUCAUCUGGUAGAGCGGCUGCUUCCCAAGCAGCAGGCGGCGGGUUCGGGUCCCGUACCCUGCUCCA